rnacentral:rRNA from 2 species
UACGGAGGGAGCGAGCGUUAAUCGGAAUUACUGGGCGUAAAGCGCGCGUAGGCGGCUUUGUAAGUCGGAUGUGAAAGCCCUGGGCUCAACCUGGGAAUUGCAUUCGAUACUGCAGAGCUAGAGUAUGGUAGAGGGAAGUGGAAUUUCCGGUGUAGCGGUGAAAUGCGUAGAUAUCGGAAGGAACACCAGUGGCGAAGGCGACUUCCUGGGCCAAUACUGACGCUGAGGUGCGAAAGCGUGGGGAGCAAACAGG